rnacentral:rRNA from 1 species
ACUCCUACGGGAGGCAGCAGUGGGGAAUAUUGCACAAUGGGCGCAAGCCUGAUGCAGCCAUGCCGCGUGUGUGAAGAAGGCCUCGGUUGUAAAGACACUUUCUAGUUGUUGAGGAAGGUAGGGUGGUCGGUUUAAGUUAAGCGGCGAUCAUUUGUACGUUAGUCAACAAGAAGAAGACACCGGCGUAACUACCGUCGCCAGCAGCCGCGGUAAUACGGAGGGUGCGAGCGUAAUCGGAAUUACUGGGCGUAAAGCGCAUGCAGGUGGUUUGUUAAGUUCAGAUGUGAAAGCCGGGGCGUCAACCUCGGAACUGCAUUUGAAACUGGCAGACUAGAGUACUGUAGAGGGGGUAGGAAUUUCAGGUGUAG